rnacentral:rRNA from 1 species
ACUCCUACGGGAGGCAGCAGUAGGGAAUCUUCCGCAAUGGACGAAAGUCUGACGGAGCAACGCCGCGUGAGCGAAGAAGGCCUUCGGGUCGUAAAGCUCUGUUGUUAGGGAAGAACAAGUACCGGAGUAACUGCCGGCACCUUGACGGUACCUAACCAGAAAGCCACGGCUAACUACGUGCCAGCAGCCGCGGUAAU